ACCAUCUUUUUCUUGAGGUUGCACUACUGUCACAUGAGCACGUAGUAAGGGCAGUACUGCUGACACCUAUAAAACACCACUGAAAAUAUAGAUAA
ensembl:snRNA